CAGAAGUGAAAUGGCAAAGAAUUCUUUAGAGAGAUAUACUCAUUAUUAUGAACGUUGGGCUACUAACCAAUCGUCGAGGCAAAAAGCACUUGCGGAUUUACUGCAUAUGCAAACAGUUUAUCUUGCAAAACUUAGUGAGAGGCAAUGCCAACCCAAGACACAGUUGAAAUUUAUUCUAGAAGCUUGGUUGCAGAUAGUUGAAUGUAGGCG